UACGUAGGGCGCAAGCGUUAUCCGGAAUUAUUGGGCGUAAAGAGCUCGUAGGCGGUUUGUCGCGUCUGCCGUGAAAGUCCGGGGCUCAACUCCGGAUCUGCGGUGGGUACGGGCAGACUAGAGUGAUGUAGGGGAGACUGGAAUUCCUGGUGUAGCGGUGAAAUGCGCAGAUAUCAGGAGGAACACCGGUGGCGAAGGCGGGUCUCUGGGCCGAUACUGACACUGAGGGGCGAAAGCGUGGGUAGCAAACAGG
rnacentral:rRNA from 1 species